CCUGACAUUCACAUGGCAUCGCUGGGACACUGACCUCCACCACCUGGCCAGAACAGUCUUCCAGCUCUCUCCACCAGGGGGCGAUCAAUAUGCAUAUUCUGAAAGUACAAAAAUAACUUCUCAAGGUAAAAGAGAAGGACUGACAAUCCAAUGAAGAAAUGGACAACAGUUUUGAAUCAACAGUUUGGAAAAGAUAAAAGGUGACCAGAGUGAUGAUUUCUCCUGGAUAAAUACUUAUGAGUCUGCUUGGGGGGUUGUAUGCAGAUCCUGGGCUGGCCACUGGAGUUUGCUGCUGAGAACCCCUUGGAGAGCUGUGAGAGAGACCUUGAUGGAGAUUUCGACACACAGAGAGCUGCUUCAUGUGAUGCUGCUUGACAUGAAAUGUGUAGAAAAUUAGGAUUUCUGUGGACCACAAAGGAGGUCUUCUCCUGAAACUUUUCACAGAAUAAACUCUUUUUGCUCCCA